UACGGAGGGGGCUAGCGUUGUUCGGAAUUACUGGGCGUCAAGCGCACGUAGGCGGACCAGCAAGUUAGGGGUGAAAUCCCGGGGCUCAACCCCGGAACUGCCUUUAAAACUGUUGGUCUGGAGGUCGAGAGAGGUGAGUGGAAUUCCGAGUGUAGAGGUGAAAUUCGUAGAUAUCCGGAGGAACACCAGUGGCGAAAGCGGCCACCUGGACUGCACCUGACGCUGACACGCGAAAGCUAGGGGAGCGAACGGG
rnacentral:rRNA from 1 species